UACGUAGGGGGCAAGCGUUGUCCGGAUUUAUUGGGCGUAAAGAGCGUGUAGGCGGCUAGAUAGGUCCGUUGUGAAAACUCGAGGCUCAACCUCGAGACGUCGAUGGAAACCAUCUGGCUAGAGUCCGGAAGAGGAGAGUGGAAUUCCUGGUGUAGCGGUGAAAUGCGCAGAUAUCAGGAAGAACACCCGUGGCGAAGGCGGCUCUCUGGUACGUGACUGACGCUGGGACGCGAAAGCGUGGGGAGCAAACAGG
rnacentral:rRNA from 1 species